rnacentral:rRNA from 1 species
UGGGGAAUUUUGGACAAUGGGCGAAAGCCUGAUCCAGCAAUGCCGCGUGUGUGAAGAAGGCCUUCGGGUUGUAAAGCACUUUUGUCCGGAAAGAAAUCCUUGGCUCUAAUACAGUCGGGGGAUGACGGUACCGGAAGAAUAAGCACCGGCUAACUACGUGCCAGCGCCGCGGUAAUACGUAGGGUGCAAGCGUUAAUCGGAAUUACUGGGCGUAAAGCGUGCGCAGGCGGUUUGCUAAGACCGAUGUGAAAUCCCCGGGCUCAACCUGGGAACUGCAUUGGUGACUGGCAGGCUAGAGUAUGGCAGAGGGGGGUAGAAUUCCACGUGUAGCAGUGAAAUGCGUAGAGAUGUGGAGGAAUACCGAUGGCGAAGGCAGCCCCCUGGGCCAAUACUGACGCUCAUGCACGAAAGCGUGGGGAGCAAACAGGAUUAGAUACCCUGGUAGUCCACGCCCUAAACGAUGUCAACUAGUUGUUGGGGAUUCAUUUCCUUAGUAACGUAGCUAACGCGUGAAGUUGACCGCCUGGGGAGUACGGUCGCAAGAUUAAAACUCAAUGAAUUGACGGGGUCAUAGCUGUUUCCU